CCUUCCUCUCUUAUGCACUCAUCUCCAUUGUGCCCACAACAAGAGCCACAAGAGGCCCAACUAAGAUGCCCCAUCUAUAAAUGCAGUAAGACCACAAGAGGCCCUCCCUUAUAAUCUUUUUUUCCUAAAAAAUUAUAGAGAUGGACAAGUAGGUUGGACUCCACAAGCAAAGAUUCUCAAGGGCAAGGGGCAUGUGGAGAUGAGAGAUCAACAUUAGAAUGGAAGAGGAGAAUAGUACAUCUUAUCUCUCUUCUUUGAACACCAACUAUCAUUGAUGGGUGUCAAGAGGACACACAUGUGAAGGAGGAUUGCAUGAAGAAUAACAAGGAUUUUCUUAAGAUUCUCUUUGCCAGUUUUUUUUCAUAAAGGCAACAUUUUGUGGAUCUUGGAGCCAAAAUACAACUCUGCUUGGAUAAAAGACUCGUCCCAGGUGGUAACGUAGAAGAAAGCCCCAAUCUCCAUAAUCCUCAUUGAUGCCUCUUCGCAGUGACCCAGCUUGUAAAGAGAUCAAUUUGAGUUAGAAAGGCCAUUGGCCUUAUGGUUUGAUGGCUAUUGUUAUAUUGGUUAAUUUCUUUUGUGGUGGAUGAUUACAAACCUAUAUGAUUAUGAUUGAGAACUAUAUUUUCUAGA